UACAGAGGGUGCAAGCGUUGUUCGGAAUUAUUGGGCGUAAAGGGCGCGUAGGCGGUGCUGUAAGUCUGUAGUGAAAUCUCUGGGCUCAACUCAGAGUCUGCUAUAGAAACUGCAGUGCUAGAGUGUGGGAGAGGUGAGUGGAAUUCCGGGUGGAGCGGUGAAAUGCGUAGAGAUCCGGAGGAACACCGACGGCGAAGGCAGCGCCCUGGCCGCCAUCUGACGCUCAGGCACGAAAGCUGGGGGAGCGAACAGG
rnacentral:rRNA from 1 species